rnacentral:rRNA from 1 species
UACAGAGGUCUCAAGCGUUGUUCGGAUUCAUUGGGCGUAAAGGGUGCGUAGGUGGCGCCGUAAGUCAGGUGUGAAAUUUCGGAGCUUAACUCCGAAACUGCAUUUGAUACUGCGGUGCUUGAGGACUGGAGAGGAGACUGGAAUUUACGGUGUAGCAGUGAAAUGCGUAGAGAUGUGGAGGAACACCGAUGGCGAAGGCAGCCCCCUGGGUCAAAACUGACGCUCAUGCACGAAAGCGUGGGGAGCAAACAGG